rnacentral:rRNA from 1 species
GAUGAACGCUGGCGGCGUGCCUAAUACAUGCCAGUCGAGCGAACGGACGAGAAGCUUGCUUCUCUGAUGUUAGCGGCGGACGGGUGAGUAACACGUGGAUAACCUACCUAUAAGACUGGGAUAACUUCGGGAAACCGGAGCUAAUACCGGAUGAUAUUUUGAACCGCACGGUUCAAAAGUGAAAGACGGUCUUGCUGUCACUUAUAGAUGGAUCCGCGCUGCAUUAGCUAGUUGGUAAGGUAACGGCUUACCAAGGCAACGAUGCAUAGCCGACCUGAGAGGGUGAUCGGCCACACUGGAACUGAGACACGGUCCAGACUCCUACGGGAGGCAGCAGUAGGGAAUCUUCCGCAAUGGGCGAAAGCCUGACGGAGCAACGCCGCGUGAGUGAUGAAGGUCUUCGGAUCGUAAAACUCUGUUAUUAGGGAAGAACAUAUGUGUAAGUAACUGUGCACAUCUUGACGGUACCUAAUCAGAAAGCCACGGCUAACUACGUG